CCCUACGGGGCGCAGCAGGCGCGAAAACUUCGCACUGUGCGAAAGCACGACGAGGGAACCCCAAGUGCUGGCUCGUUAGAGUCAGCUGUUUCUCUGUCUAAAAAACAGAGAGAGUAAGGGCUGGGUAAGACGGGUGCCAGCCGCCGCGGUAAUACCUGCAGCCCAAGUGGUGACUGUUAUUAUUGGGCCUAAAACGUCCGUAGCCGGUUUAGUAAAUGCCUGGGUAAAUCGUACGGCUUAACCGUACGAAGUCCGGGUAGACUGCUGAACUUGAGAUCGGGAGAGGCUAGAGGUACUCCUGGGGUAGAGGUGAAAUCCUGUAAUCC
rnacentral:rRNA from 1 species